rnacentral:rRNA from 1 species
AUUGAACGCUGGCGGCAGGCUUAACACAUGCAAGUCGAGCGAGCGGCGGACGGGUGAGUAAUGUCUGGGAAAAUGCCUGAUGGAGGGGGAUAACUACUGGAAACGGUAGCUAAUACCGCAUACCAUCAGAUGUGCCCAGAUGGGAUUAGCUAGGAGGUGGGGUAAUGGCUCACCUAGGCGACGAUCCCUAGCUGGUCUGAGAGGAUGACCAGCCACACUGGAACUGAGACACGGUCCAGACUCCUACGGUAUGCAGCAGUGGGGAAUAUGGCACAAUGGGCGCAAGCCUGAUGCAGCCAUGCCGCGUGAAUGAAGAAGGCCUUCUGGUUGUAAAGUUCUUUCGGUAGCGAGGCGUUAACUACAGAAGAAGCACCGGCUAACUCCGUGCCAGCAGCCGCGGUAAUAC